ensembl:lncRNA novel transcript
AUCUCCUGCUCCCUGUCCUGCACUGCAAAGGAGGCCUUUUCAUCCUCUCUACUGCCUCCAAUUUUUCUCACGAGGAAUGUGAGAGGAAAACCUAGAGCUUGUUCCUGAAGCAUGGUGCUAAGUCCAUAUGCAGCAGAUGGAGCUCAUGAGAAAAGAGUUGCUCUUGUGAAGACCAAAGCUUGGUGAGGUGUCAGAUCCCCGGCGAUGGAAAGCAGUCAACUCAUGGGUAGUAAAAAGAAUGUAUUGACAACACUAUAGGUUUGAAAAGGAAAGUUUUAUUAGAUGGAAAGAACAGUGCAGAAGACCGCAGCAGAGGACCUCAGCAAGAGAGAACUAAGUAUAUCAUGGUGGAUUUUUCCUAAGGGUUUGUCAGUUUCAAAUACUCAUGUAUCUGAUUGUCAAUGCUGGAGAGCUGGGGCCAGGGCAGUAGUUGAUGAAUAUCACCUGACUGUCUCCUGCAGAAAAAGCAUUCCCAGAAGCACGGAGAAGUGAGGAGAAAAGGCAAUGCACCUGGAGCUGGAGACCAAGGCCCUGUUCUUACUGAUGGCCCUUGGAGCAGAUAUUUGAAUUGGAGAGAUAAAACCGUGGUUUUUGGGGUGUUAAUUUUGGUGGCUGAUGCAUUCUGUGAUUGAUUUGGCUAUUACAACUGGUAUUGAUUUUAAACACAUUAAUUGCAAAAUCUCAAUUGUGAUUUGAUUUCUGUAUUUACAAUACUAAAAACGAGGCUUUCGCCAGGAGAAGACAAUUGGCAGUACUCAGUUGGAAGUGCUUAAUUGUUAAUAUAUAUCAGCCGUGGUUCUUCAGCGUCGUCAGUGUUGCUCAGUCUUGCUCUUUGUGGCGACUACUGAAUGCUUGAAAAAUUCUCUCCUAUACUCCCACUCUGCACUGUAGAAGAGAAAGAGAGGAGAGUGGAAGAAAAAAGAGAGGGAGAGGAGAAAGAAAGAGAGGAGAGAGAAACAUGGGCAUGGAUGAUACAUAAGGUAGUUGUAAACUGUGAUCAGCUUUGAUAAUAACUAGAUAAAUUCUUUUAAUACAAAAAUAUAUAAGGCAUUUUGCCUUUUUUUCAAAUUUCAAAUAAAUGGAUUUGUAUAGAAUGUAGUCUGUUGCCCAGAGUUUUCAUUUAGCAUAAUGCAUUUGAGAUUUAUCCAUGUUGUUGUAUAUUCUUUUUAUUGCUGAGUAGUAUUCCAUUGUGUGGAUAUACCAGUUUGUUUAUCCAUUAACCUUUGAUGGAUAUUUGGGUUUUUUUCAAUAUGAGGCUCUUAUAAAUAAACCUUCUGUAAUCAGGUCUUUGUGUAGUCACACAGUUUGUUUGUUUGUUUGUUUUUUAAAAAGAUGUUAGUAUUGUAAUUGUGUUUAAUAAGAAACUGUUCAGUAUUUCUGCAUGUCUACCAAAAAUACAUGAAAUGUUAGUUGCUUCUUUUAAAAUACUUGGUAUGUUUUUGCUUUUUUAUUUUAGCAACUUAAUAUGUGUGUAUUAUAACCUCAUUGUGGUUUUAAAUUACAUUUUCCUCAGUAACUAAUAAUGCUGAGCAUCUUUUAAUGUAUUUAAUGGUCAUUCAUAUAUCUCCUCAUGAAAUGUCUGUUAAAAUUGUAUGCUCAUUUAGAAAAAUCAGGAUGAUUGUCUUGUUGAGCUUUGAAAGCUCUUUGCAUAUUAUGAAUACAAGUUCUUUAUUAGACAUACAUUUUACAAACA